rnacentral:rRNA from 1 species
UCGAGGAUCUUCGUCAAUGGGCGAAAGCCUGAACGAGCGACGCCGCGUGCGCGAUGAAGGCCUUCGGGUUGUAAAGCGCGAAAGUGGGGACGAAGCCGAAAGGUUGACUGAUCCACAGUAAGCUCGGGCUAAGUUCGUGCCAGCAGCCGCGGUAAGACGAACCGAGCGAACGUUGUUCGGAAUCACUGGGCUUAAAGGGCGCGUAGGCGGGUAUUCAAGUCUGUGGUGAAAUCCGGCAGCUUAACUGUCGAAUUGCCGCGGAUACUGGGUAUCUCGAGGGAGGUAGGGGCGUGCGGAACUAAUGGUGGAGCGGUGAAAUGCGUUGAUAUCAUUAGGAACUCCGGUGGCGAAGGCGGCACGCUGGACCUCUUCUGACGCUGAGGCGCGAAAGCCAGGGGAGCAAACGG